CAUGUAGGCGGUUGUUUAAGUCUGAUGUGAAAGCCCUGGGCUCAACCCAGGAAGUACAUUGGAUACUGGGCAACUUGAGUACGGGAGAGGAAAGUGGAAUUUCGAGUGUAGGGGUGAAAUCCGUAGAUAUUCGAAGGAACACCAGUGGCGAAGGCGGCUUUCUGGACCGAUACUGACGCUGAGAUGCGAAAGCGUGGGGAGCAAACA
rnacentral:rRNA from 1 species